ncrna:unclassified sequences Flavobacterium-1 RNA
AAGCUCAAGGGCGUCGAUAUUCGCUUCGCGUGUUUCCCUCUACGUAAGCUGUGAUCCGCAAGGUAGCAUCCUGGAGUUUGGCCCGCUGUGAGUACGUGCACAGAAAGCAGCGGGUU